AUGAAUUGUAUAAGCUGGAACUAUCGAGGGGUGGCCAACAAACCGACAGUUCGCGAGCUUGUUGGCAUGGUAAAAGCUACAAAAUCAAAGUUAGUUUUCUUUUGUGAGACUAGACAGAGUUCCGAAAAAGUUAAACGUCUGUGUGGUAGGUUAGGAUUAAGAGGUUUUUCUGGAGUUAGCAAUGAUGGUUUGAGUGGAGGGCUGGCCCUCUUUUGGUGCGAAAGUUUGCAUGUGGAAGUUCAAUCUGCUAGUGAAAGAUAUAUUGAUGCGCAUGUGCGACUCUCCAAGCAUGACCCUCUGUGGCGUCUGACUUGUGUGUAUGGGGAACCACGUUGGAAAAUAGACACCGCAUGUGGACACAAAUGA
rnacentral:rRNA from 1 species